rnacentral:lncRNA from 1 species
ACCGUCUGCCCUAGGAGCUUCAGGCUGUAGCUCCAGGCACAGGAGAAACAGCAUCCUGCAGAGUACUAAACCAGCUGCCACAUCCGUGCAGGGUCAAAUCCCUACAAUAAAGGUGUCGUGUUGUAGAAAGAAGUCUUCUCAACGGAGGGUGGAGAGGCUGGAGCACCCCUUGGAGGAGCUGGAACAGGCAGGGGGGCGUGGACUUCCUGCCUGUCUCGCUCCUGAAGAUGAGUUUCCAGCCAAAGCACGUGUCCAGAGGCUGCUGGCCAGCUUGAGGUCACACCUGCAGAUCUGCUUCUGGCAUUUGCUCCCAGGACCUGUACCAGCCCGGGAAGGAAACUGGAGCGCUCCCCUCUGGUUAGUGAGUCAGAGAGACUCAUCGCCUCCCAUCCCACCCAAGUGGCAAGAGCCUCUCUUGGGAACUUCAGAAAUCCUGCCACCUCCUAGAGCCUCCCAGGAUGGUGGUGGAAUCCCCGUUCCUGCUGAAUUCAGAAAGCCCCCGACUAUAAAAAAGCUGUGUGUUGCUGUGAUGCUGAAAGCUGUGCCACCGGGAUCUCAAAUGGCAGCAGGGUCGCCCAUGGUGGACAGGUUUCAGAGGACUUUCCAGACUAAGACAGACAAGGAAGAAGGACCUGGCCACCCACUUCCGAAAAAACUGGCCAUGAAGACCCUGUGAAUAACAGUGGAGCUUGUCUGCUACAGAGCCGGAAGUUAUGUGCUCGAGACUCAGAUAGGAUCUGAUUCAUCAGAGGAUACCGGACCUCUCACCCAGGACCCCAAGUGUGCACCGUUGAAGCCCUUGUCUUCACCUCCGACUGCCUGAUCGGGGAUCUGUUGCGGGUGUCCCACUGCAGAACCUGACCCCAGAGGGAACAGGAAGCCCCGUCACUGCAUCCUUCUGCUGCCUCCUACAUCCAGUGCUCUUUGAGAAACAGAGGCCGAGAGCAGGAGCUGCCUGUCUCUCCUUCCUUUGCGCCUCAUAAUCAAUUUCAGUAAUUGGAAACUGGCCCAGGAUGAGAAC